GGUAAAAUGGCUGAGUAAUUAAGCGAUAAAUUGUAAAUUUAUAAACGAAUAUUUAAAUUCUUUUACCA
rnacentral:tRNA from 1 species